rnacentral:tRNA from 1 species
GGCGCCGUGGCUUAGUUAGUUAAAGCGCCUGUCUAGUAAACAGGAGAUCACAGUUCGAAUCUCGUCGGUGCCU